AUGGGCAGAAGGAAUAUCACACAGGUGUCUGACUUCAUCCUCAUGGGACUGACAGACUCUGAAGAGAUCCGGCUGGUCCUCUUCACCCUCUUCCUCCUGAUAUACCUGAUGACUGUGCUGGGGAAUGUGGGGAUGAUCCUGAUAAUCUGCCUGGACCCCCAGCUUCACAGCCCCAUGUAUUUUUUCCUCAGUCACUUGUCAUUUCUUGACCUCAGUUACUCAAGUGUCAUCACCCCUAAAACCUUAGCCAACUUACUGACUUCCAGCAAGUAUGUUUCUUACCUGAACUGCUUCACGCAGCUGUAUUUCUUUGUCUUCUUGGGCGCCACUGAGUGUGUUCUUCUCUCCUCCACGGCCUACGAUCGCUAUGCAGCCAUCUGCAGCCCUCUGCGUUACCCCGUUGUUAUGUCCACCAGGCGCUGCUGCUCUCUCGUCUUUGGAUCCUAUUUGAUUGGCUUUAUUGAUACCUCUGUCAGUGUUCCAUGCAUGAGUAGAUUGCAUUUCUGCAACUCAAAUGAAAUUUAUCACUUUUACUGUGAUGGAAGGGCAAUUUUUUCCCUGUCCUGCACUGACACACGUGGCAUUGAAAUCAUCAUAUUCAUUUCUGCCGGUUCCACCCUACUGGUGUCUCUUAUCACAACAUCUGUGUCUUAUUCGUCCAUCCUGUCUACUAUUCUGAAAAUCACUUCCACUUCAGGGAAGCAGAAAGCCUUCUCUACCUGUGCCUCCCAUCUCCUGGCAGUCACCAUCUUCUAUGGCACUAUGAUUUUCACUUACUUAAAACCAAUCUGUUUCAGAUUCAUUAGCACACUGGUAAGAGAAGACAGAAAGAUGGAAAGAACAUACAGACUUGGUGAGUAUAUGGAGAUACAAAGUUUAUCUAAAUGCAACACUUACUCUUGCUUUAGUAUCAAAAAAAAAAAAAUCAUUGCCAAGAUGCAUAAUUCUGAGCAGAUUUUCCCUACAUUUUCUUUUGGAUGUUUUAUGGUUUCAGGGCUUAUAUUUAUCUUUAAUCAAUUUGAGUUGAUUUUUGUUCAUGCUGUAAGAUAG
rnacentral:lncRNA from 1 species